rnacentral:rRNA from 1 species
UACGGGAGGCAGCAGUGAGGAAUAUUGGACAAUGGAGGGGACUCUGAUCCAGCCAUGCCGCGUGCAGGAAGAAUGCCCUAUGGGUAGUAAACUGCUUUUAUACGGGAAGAAAAAGGGCUACGUGUAGCUUACUGACGGUACCGUAAGAAUAAGGACCGGCUAACUCCGUGCCAGCAGCCGCGGUAAUACGGAGGGUCCGAGCGUUAUCCGGAAUUAUUGGGUUUAAAGGGUCCGUAGGCGGGCCGGUAAGUCAGGGGUGAAAGUUUGCAGCUCAACUGUAAAAUUGCCUUUGAUACUGUCGGUCUUGAGUUAUGGUGAAGUUGCCGGAAUAUGUAGUGUAGCGGUGAAAUGCAUAGAUAUUACAUAGAACACCGAUUGCGAAGGCAGGUGACUAACCAUAUACUGACGCUGAUGGACGAAAGCGUGGGGAGCGAACAGGAUUAGAUACCCUGGUAGUCCACGCCGUAAACGAUGGAUACUAGCUGUCCGAGUCCUUGAGACUUGGGCGGCCAAGCGAAAG